CUGCAUAGCAGAACGACCCGUGAACAUGUUACUAUCAUUUAAGGAGGAGGGGUUUUGGCUUGCCAUGUCCCUCUUCCAAAUGUCAUGCGGCAUUCCUUCGUGAUUGUUUGCAUGGCAAAAAUAACCAACCCCCGGCGCGUAAAGCGUCAAGGAAUAUAAAAAUGAGUUUGCCUAUCCAGCACCGGGUUUCCGGCAUGUGGGUUAGGUACAAAUGUAUGUCAUUAAAUGA
rnacentral:misc_RNA from 1 species